rnacentral:rRNA from 1 species
UUCCGGUUGAUCCCGCCGGACCUGACUGCUAUCGGAUUGAUACUAAGCCAUGCGAGUCAUUGUAGCAAUACAAGGCAGACGGCUCAGUAACGCGUAGUCAACCUAACCUAUGGAUGGGAAUAACCUCGGGAAACUGAGAAUAAUGCCCAAUAGAACACUAUACCUGGAAUGGUUUGUGUUCCAAAUGAUUUAUCGCCGUAGGAUGGGACUGCGGCCUAUCAGUUUGUUGGUGAGGUAAUGGCCCACCAAGACUAUUACAGGUACGGGCUCUGAGAGGAGUAGCCCGGAGAUGGGUACUGAGACACGGACCCAGGCCCUAUGGGGCGCAGCAGGCGAGAAAACUUUGCAAUGUGCGAAAGCACGACAAGGUUAAUCCGAGUGAUUUGUGCUAAACGAAUCUUUUGUUAGUCCUAGAAACACUAACGAAUAAGGGGUGGGCAAGUUCUGGUGUCAGCCGCCGCGGUAAAACCAGCACCUCAAGUGGUCAGGAUGAUUAUUGGGCCUAAAGCAUCCGUAGCCGGCUCUGUAAGUUUUCGGUAAAUCUGUAUGCUCAACAUACAGGCUGCCGGGAAUACUGCAGAGCUAGGGAGUGGGAGAGGUAGACGGUACUCGGUAGGAAGGGGUAAAAUCCUUUGAUCUAUUGAUGACCACCUGUGGCGAAGGCGGUCUACCAGAACACGUCCGACGGUGAGGGAUGAAAGCUGGGGGAGCAAACCGGAUUAGAUACCCGGGUAGUCCCAGCUGUAAUCUAUGCAAACUCAGUGAUGCAUUGGCUUGUGGCCAAUGCAGUGCUGCAGGGAAGCCGUUAAGUUUGCCGCCUGG